CGGAGAGGAACGAUCUAACGGCGACGAUUGAGAGGAGUAGGAAACGUAUUGUGAAGCAUGACGUAGGUUGAGUCGCGCUCCUCGCUUUUUCGGUAUUUGUUAAUUGUAAAUGUUUGUUUUGUGAGAGAAAAAAAAAGGAAAUCUGAGUUAACGAAACCGCCAAGUCAGCAUAUAACGACAAAACAAAGGUUCGCUCAACGGUAUCGUGACCGUUGGCGAAAUAGGCCUUAAAAACUGGUGUGGGCUUUCUAAUGAUAUAAGUUUAUUGGGCUUUAACAUUCUUUUAUCUUAAAUGGUGGCACCAGCCAUUCAGCGACAUCCUCACGUGCGUUGUCGGUGACGUGGAUGGAAGAGGGUACGCAGUACGUUGCCUUUUAGAUGGUAGCGAGAGAACGCUCAGACUGAACCAAAGUUUUGCCUUGAGGGCAUAUAAGACAAAUACACAUACCUUGGAGAAGAAGAAGAAAACUCACCUGAGCAUGGCGUUAUGCCCUUCCCCUCUCCCUCUCCGCCUCGCCGUCCCCCAGGCCCCUCCGGCGCCGCCGCGCUGGCCUCCCGCGCCGCCGUGCGCUCCUGCCUCUCCCCCCCCCCGACCUCCCUCCCGCAACGUCCCGAUGAUGUUUCCAAGACAAAAGCUGUACGACAAGCUUAAGAAACCCCCUUCCUUCAUAUCCUUCCCACUAAAGUCCAAGUUUCCAAGUCUUUCCAAGAAGGUCAGUCCAAAUGAUAGGAUCACGCCUAUACUUGCACGAACUACAUUCUGGCCCUGAUCUUAGCUCUUUGUUCUCUGUUCUGAUCUUAGCUUUUUGUUCUCUGUUCUGUUCUUAGCUUUUUGUUCUCUGUUUUCCAGUUUGUAAGAAAAGAAAAAAACUGUAAUAAAAAGCUGUUUUAUAAAAAAAAAAAAAAAUCAUACUGUUUGCCGGAGGUUUGAACGCCGGAGAUUACCCAACUUCCGCUUAAACUUAAAAUUAAGAGUUUAUUAUAUAAAAAAUAUUAAUUAAUUUUUUUUAAACCCCAUAAGCGCCGUCAAAUCGGAGGAGGGGUGGUUAGUCGUCAUAUUAAAUCGGAGGAGGGGUGACAUCUUAAAGCUUGCUCUUUCUUUACAUAUUAAUAAGGUCCAUUUCAAACCCUAGAAGCGCCGUCAAAUCGGAGGAGGGGUGGUUCGUCGCCGUGAGAGCCCUCUCCUCCUCCUCUCUUUAAAUCUCGCCUUUUCCAAAUCUGGGUCAGAUUUGUUUCGUGUCCCUUCCUCCGCUGUUCUUCAUGGCCUGAUUAUUAAAUUAGAGAAUGUGUUUGUGCAAAGUAGAUUAUUAAUCUUCCAUUGAUUACACGUACGGCCAGUCAUACUUCGAAAGAUUUGAAUACUCUUCCUUUUAACUGAGAAGAUGAGUGAAUGUAAAGCAAGCUUAGCCAAGCCUUGUGUUGGCAAAAUGAAUGGACCAUUACCAAGCUCUGUUGCUUUGAAUCCCACUGAUCCUAGCGUUGGAGAAUCCGAGAAAGCUACCGUGGAAGUUGAAUAUAUUGAAUCCGAGAACUUGGAUAACGUAGACGAUGCUCAUUCAGUUCUCAAGGUAUUUUUUUCCUGUUUGUUACACUUAUGUGUUAUGGUUUCAUCAAAUCUCAUUUUCAUUAGUAUAACCCAUAGGUUUAUAACUGUGAUAUGAAGCUGUUACUGGUCUCUCUAUGUAUUUAGAGAUUGGAAGUAUGAAUUUUUUUUUUUUAUGCAAGACGAAUCAUUUUGAUCUCAUUUUUUUCUUUCUUUCAGUCGGUUCUAGCUGGUCUGGACUCCGAAGGCUGAUGGAACUUUGAACGAAGCAGCUAUUCCCAAUGUCACAAAGGCCUUACGUACAGGUAAUAAUACUUUGCAAGAAGAUCUCUCAUUGAACUAGCGAAUCUGUUCAGAGCUAGAGGAGAAUCUUUGUUGAAUGCAUCUGUUUCUUGGCUUAUACAAAACCAUUUUGGUUACUUGUUUAGAUUCAAUCCAAUCUCUGUGUUCACUUUACUCUUAAUGCCUUUUAGCUCUUUCCUUAACUCCAAGUUUAGAUUUUAAUAGCACUGAAUAAAAGCAAAUAUCAAAUCUUGUUUCUUCUCUCAGGACAUCGAUGGAGUUUCCAACUUAAAGGUUCAAGUUUCUGAAGGUGUUGCUGUUGUUGAGGUAUGUUCACAUCCAACAUUCUCUUCAUACAUUGCCUUUACAUGCCCUAAGCACACACAAGGAUAGAUUUUGAAUAUGUAUAGAUUAGAUGUAUGGGGUUUUGUUUUACAUAUUAGUAGUGGUUAACCACGGGACUAGUCUUCAAGGCCGCAUAAGAAAGUUGGAUCGGGCCUGAACCUUGAAAAGUCAAGGGCUUUAUAAGAAUAGUUAUGUUAUAGCUAGACGAGGUAAACUGCCCCCCCCCCCCUUCUCAUCAUUCAUUUCCGUUUUUACCGACGACGUCAGCAGCCCAAGCUAGAAGUCCCGCCAUGUAUCUUCUUCUUCUUCUUCGUCUUCGUCUCUUUGAUCUGACAUAGACACGGACCGGACUCUCAGAGCUAAACCGAAGCGGUUGGUGACUAAACCGGUCUGGUUCGAUCGAACUCUCGGUUUCCCUAUCACUCUUUUCGAAGGCUUUGCGUAUUUAGUUAUUUACACGAAACUCAUGUUUCCGCUUUCCACUGGGCCUUUUUUAACACAUUGGGCUUAUAAUUACGACGUCCAUAUCAAACUAAUUGCUCUGGAGAAAACACUUGGAACAGUUAUAAUUAGGAGCGGACACUUCGGUUAUUUUAUCGGUUCGGUCUGGUUAAUACGGUUCUAUAAUUUUUUCCAACCAAAGUAAACUAUAAUAAAUUUGGUUUAGAACGGUUUCUGUUGGGUUGUAUUCGGUUUGGUUUGUUUUUCGAUUCGGUUCAAUCGUAUUCCCUUAAUUUAGUUCUUUAAGAAAAAAAUCAUGAUUUAAAACGUAAACGCAUGGUCAUAAAGUCAUUGUGCUGGUGACUAUGAAAAACAAUUAUGUUGACUAAAUUCAAUAUAAAACCAAAAAAAGCUUUCAAAGAACAAUACAUUUAUAAGAACACAACCAAAUCAAAUUUAACUACAGUAGAUAGUUUUUUCUCUAAAACAUCGUUAGUAAUGCCUUUUAAAAAUAAAUUAUUUAAAUUUAAUUUAAAACAAAAUUGAAACAAAAACCUUAACAAACCACAAAAAGUUUAUAAAAACACAUUCAAACCAAAGUUACUAAAGUAAAUAGAUUUUUUUCAAAAAAAACAACAACAUUGUUAAUAAAGUUAACAAUGACUUUAGUCUUUAGUCUUAGGAUUUUAGUAUAUUGUAUAUUACUAGUAUGCUUAAUUUAAUUAAUAACAGAAACGCAUUGGUUAUCGGUUCGGUUUAACUCGGUUUGGUUUCGGUUCAGUUGGUUCGGAUUGGGAAAAUCUUAAACCAAACUAUUUGAUAAUAUACUUUCGGUUCAGUUUGGAUCGGUUUUGGUCGGUUCACUUUGGUUUUUUUGCCCAUCAUAGUUGAUAUGUUUUUGUAUUGUAGAUAAAAAAUAUAUAUAUUAUUAUGCAGUUAAGUUUGAGUCAAUUUUACUAGUUUUGUGUUUUGCUACUUUAAGAAACUUUCUUAGAAGAACUAUGGGUGUGACUGGAUUUGUAUUUUAAUGGCCUACUAGAUAUUGACCCGCCCUCUAUAUGUUUUGUUUUAAAAAUAUUUGUCUAAUAUAAUUUAUUUAUUUGUGUGUUUGUAUAAUUAUAUUUUUGUAUGAUAUGAAUUUAAUAGAAUAGAUUAUUUUUGUAAGUAUAUUAAAUAAAUCAACUUUCAUAUGUACUUGUUUCUUUCCUUGUAUCAUAUAUGUAUUUUUUUUUGUAAUCAUAUUUAUGUUUUAUCUGUGAUCAUAUUAUAGAGUAAGAAUUUGGGUUCAAUUCCGACUAUUCAGAUAUUGGUCUUUAGAUGAGAGAUUAAAACCUAUUUGGAUAUUUAUAAAUUUUAGUUUGGAUUCAGUUUGGAUAAUUACGGGUUCAGUUUAAAUACAGAUACUCAUUAAAAUUAUGUAAAAAUAUUGAAAUACAAAUAUACCCGCCCUUAAAAUUAUGUAAAAAUAUUUUUGUUCUAUCAUUUUUCAAAAAUUUAAAUUUUAUAAUAACAUUUUUUUAAUGAUAUUAUAUUUAAAAUUAAUUUAAUUUAAUAUAUUUUUUGGUAGUUAAAUUAAUGUUAAACAUAAUAUGAUUACAAAAAAAAACACAAAUUUAAAAAUUAAAUUAAAAAAAAUUAAACACAUAAUAUGACCACCUAGACAUUUAUCUUAUCUCUAGGUGACAGUUUUAGGUUCGUGAGCCUUGAAGAAGUUAGAGGUUUUGAUUAGAAGCAAGAACAGGAAGUCUUAAUUAGGCUCUUGGUCUCCCCUAUUGAGAUAGUGGAAGGAUUGAUUAUGGUUUUAGGAGGAUUUACACAUUGUAACUAACUCUAGAGGAUGCUUUGAAGGAAAAUUAUAAGUUCAUUAAAAUUCUUAUGAUUUCUUAGUAGUUUCAAAAGGAUCUGAUUAUUUUUUUUAAUUGAAAUUAUAACUUGGCAUGGGACAGAGAAAUCUGUUUUCAUAAAUUUUCAUUUCCUUUCAUGUCUUAGGUGUUUUAUGAUUACAUCCAUCAUGUUAGAGAUGAUGGGGAGAUGCUUAUCUUAUCUACCCCUGGGACCAUUUUGACCAAUCUUUUCCACCCCUGUUUAUCAUGCUCUCAGUCCUUGAGAAAAGGAUAUUAGUCUAGUCUGUCCACCACUGUUAUUGGAGAACUCCACUUUCUUUUUAGAAAGGAACAAGAAAAAUCUUACUCUAAAUAGUAGUCUUCAUUUUACUCUCUUGAAAGCGUUAAUGGUGUUGGGAUAUUAAAAGGCAUAAGUGCAGAACUAGAGUUUUUCACUUGAUGAAACAGUGAAGUUUAUCUUUCUUGUUUAAAUGAGUUUGAUUUGAUUACUUGCUCCCUUAACAGGCUUUUCUUUGUUGUCAUGUUUGAUAUAUACUAUGGCCAUGAAGAUUGUUCUUUCUUGGUUUUGUAAUGAUUCUGAUGAACUAAUAGUCUUUUGUCUCUUUUGUUUUCUAGGUUGUUUCUUCUUGGUUUGGAUAAGUAUGGGAAGGGUGAUUUCUCGUAACUUUGUGGUAACAAGAACACCAACCCAAGUCGCAAGCCACGCUCAGAAGUACUUCAUUCGUCUAAACUCAAUGAACAAUCUUUACAUCUUGUUGGAUUAUUUGUUUUGUUGGAUAACUUGUCUGAGGAACCUAUAAGGCUAGAUAUUAAAUAUAAUUAGCAGUUUUGGUAAGACAAGUUAACACCGGUCUUAGAUCGUUGCUAAUAACAUUUACGAGCAAAAGCGAAAUCUAUUCAUCGGAAUGUUUAUCGAAUGGUAGGUACAUAAAGACUUGAGCAGCUUAAUCAUGGAAGAACCUCAGAUAAGCUUAGCUAUACGGCCCAUUCCAGAUGGCAAAAGGGCAUCCUUUGUUGCAAUGUCACUUCUUCUUUUUGAUGUCACUUGUCUUUCGUUAAUCAGCAUAUACCUUGGAAAGGUGAGCAAGUACAGCUCUUUAUUCUAAAAGAUAAGAGCAAGAUUCAUCAUUUGUGUUUAUGCGGAUGGCCCACUCAUAUAUAUAUAUAUGUAUAUUAUUAUAUACUAUAUACUAAAUAGCUUAUGGGAAUGCAUAUGCGAUGCUUCAGCCACUUCCAAUGCCAAUUGAGAAGGAGAAUAUAUAUUGCUGCAAAAGUGACUUGAGAAGGAGAAUAUAUUGCUGCAAAAGCUUAUGGGAAUGCAUAUACUAACUCUUAUAUUCUUUCCAUUCUUUCUUAAGCAAUAUAGACAUGCAGUUUAAAAGCCUCAACUUCCAUAUUCCCUUCACGCUAAUUUGUGACUUUUACUUUUUCACGUCAAUAUUUUUUUGUAGAGUCAUUAUAAGUUUAAAAGUGUUGGCAGUCAAAGUCCUAAACAAUCUUCACCUUCCCGCCGUCAGAAGUUUUUGGCGAUAAUCCCGAGCUAGCUAGGGUUUGGUUUCUGAGCUAUUUUUAUAAGUGUUAGGGACGUUGGAACUUUAUAUCAAAGCUUAAAGCGUGGUUUUGUUUGGUUGGUGAUUUCGUUUUGGUUAUGGUUUUGUGAGCGAGCAGGUCAGAAGACAUGGAAGAGAAGAAGAAUGCAGACGAUAGAAUCAUCAACGACAAUAUAUUGAUACCUCCUGCUGCCCCAGUACUAGGCCUUGGGCGUGGUGCUCCUCUUUUGAAACCCACUCCACGACGCCGUGUCAAUGGCAACGUGUCUCAGCACCCUACCACUACCACUGCAGAGAUCGAUGAGACCAGGGUCAAGUUUCUGAGGCUUUCACACAGAUUAGGGCAAACUCCACGUAACAACGUUGUUGUUGCUCAGUUUUUGUCUAGGGGAAGCAGCCGUGUUGGUGGUGCCGCCAUUUCCAUGGCGGAACAGCUUGAGGGACAGAAUCAUCCGCUUGAUUUUUCUUGUACGAUUAUGUUGCUCGGCAAAAGCGGUGUUGGCAAGAGUGCUACGAUUAAUUCUAUUUUCGAUGAUGAUCAUGCAGUGAAGAAGAUGUGUACCACCGAUGCAUUCCAGAUGGGGACGAAGAGGGUUCAGCUUGUUGAGGGUUUUGUUCAGGGAAUCAAAGUCCGGGCCAUCGACACUCCAGGCCUCUCACCAUCAUGGUUUGAUCAACACAAGAACGUGAAAACCCUCAAGUCUAUUAGGGCUUUCAUCAAAAAAAGUCCACCGGAUGUUGUAUUAUAUCUCGAUAGGUUGGAUACGCAAACGCAAAGCAGCAUAGAUGAGGAGAUGCUUCUUUUGCGCACCAUCACCCAGUUUCUUGGACCGUCGAUAUGGUUUAACGCCAUCGUGGGUUUGACUCACGCCGCUUCCGCUCCACCAGAUGGCGCUGCCUCUAGCUACGGCAUGUUUGUAACACAACGUUGUCUUGCCAUUCAGCAGGACAUUCGCCGAGCAGCUCGAGAUUUGCGGCUCGUGAGCCCUGUGUCUUUAGUUGAGAACCACCCUGCUUGCAGGACCAACCGGGCGGGUCAGAGAGUGUUACCGAAUGGUCAAGCGUGGAAGCCUCAUUUGCUGUUACUCUCGUUUGCAUCCAAGAUUCUAGCACAAGAAAAUGCAUAUGAUCGUAAUUAUAAUAGUCGACCAUUAGUUGUGGAAUCCACGGCUCAACCACUGUCACUUUUUCUCUCAUCUCUUCUGGAAUCACAUCAGCUUCCUCCUCCUUUUCUCUCAUCUCUUCUGGAAUCACAUGAGCUUCCUCCUCGUUGUAAGCGAUUGACUGAAGCUGAAAUUUCUAGGCUUAGUAAAUCUCAGAAGGAGCAGUAUCCUGUUGAGUUCCAGGCGGAACUAGAGAUGGAAGAGGAACGUCGACCUCAUAUUGAUCUCUCCAACCCGUCGCUACUUGUUACUCCAGUCCUGGUUGUUCCGAGGUGGGAUCAUGAUAUUGGCUAUGACGGUCUAAGUGCUAAAGGGACUUUGGUUAAAGAAAAGAUACAUAUGUCUUACUCGGGCAAAGUGACAAAGAACAACCUCAUGAAAAUGAAAGGUGCAGACGUGCAGCUGGAAAUGGCCAGCUUGGUUGUACAUGGAGAGGAGGGUAAUAGAUCAACCUCCGUAGGUUUCGAGAUGCAAAAAAAGACUUGGGAUGAAUUGUCUUGCGCUCUUCGAAGUGAUUCCAAUUUUAUGAAACACAAAGCUGCGGCUGGUCUAGCUAUAACGCUCUUGGGUGAUUCGGUGUCUGCCGGGGUGAAAGCAGAACGUAAGUUGGUUGCUAAUAAAAGGUUCGGAAUAGAUGUGUGUGGUGGUGGGGCAAUGACUUGUCGAGGUGAUGCGGCUUAUGGGGGUAGUUUAGAAGCUCACUUGCUUGGUAGUUUUUUUUUAUCUACUCUGGGACUUUCUGUGGUGGAUGGGCAUCGGGGUCUUGCUAUCGGAGGGAAUAUUCAGACCCAAGUGCACAUAGGACGUUCAUCUGAUCUAACUGCUCGUGCUAAUCUGGACAGCAGUGGGGCAGGGCAAGUAAGCAUCCGGGCAAACAUCUUUGAACUGCUCGAACAUGCUAUGGCCGUACUUGUUCCUCUAUUUAAGAAGCUACUUAGUUAUUAUUCCCCUAAUUAGCACCUAGUUGUUUUUGUUCAUGUCUUAUCUCUGGAUUUUGCAUUAAGCCUUGAUAAAAAUUUAUGUUGCAGUUUACUUAUUGACGUUAAAGACACCCAUCACCGUUGUUGGAAGAUAUUGAUAUCACUAUUUACUGUUUAUCAAUAUCUCAAUUUUUUGAUAACAAGAUUAUUACUGUUUACUGUUUAUCACACACACAGUAAGACACAACUAUUCAAUCUAAAGUCACUACUCUCACACACACCUUUUAGUACAACAUUUCAACUUAAUAACUAAAUAACAUACAACCAAAAGCUCAGUUACAAACUAACAACCCUCUGGGUAAGCCAUAUAAAUACAAAGCGGUGUCUCUUAACUUACUCCUUUUUUUUUUGCACUCUUCCGCACUUUUCCGUGUUCCGUUUAUAUAAAUAUAUAAUUAGUGACUGAUUGUUAAGGAUUUUGCUGUAUGUAGUUGAUAAUAUCCAUUGGGUUUGUCAAUGAUGGUCUUAUUUAGUCACCACUGUUAAGCUGAUGAAUUCUCUCAAAAGAUACGUUGAGUGUUAUAAAAUCCAUAUGAAUUUAGCCACCAGAGUGGCAUAAUACAUAUUCUUCUUGAGCCACAUAAAAUGGAUCUCACUCAUUCACCGAAGCCAGAAGUGUGACAAAGUUAUCAGACCACCAGAAAAUGUAGUCUUGUGUAGCACAAACUUAUAUACCAUGCAAGCAAAUCAAAGAUAUCUCCGGAUGCAUAUAAUGCUGGCAUAUCAUCAACAAAGAACUUGAAGGUAGUUGAGUUUCUACGAUUUAACCACAAAAUUUAACAAGUUUAAGAACUAGCGAAUAUCUAAGUGCCAAAUGAAUGUGAAUAUUAUUGUGAUGGAUUCGAGAUAUCAAGUGAAAGUGGAUAAAAGUGAUUGCCUUUUGCCAAAUGUCACUGCACUUUUUCCAUAGACAAUUUCUCAGAGCCAUGUAAAGUGGAGAAUCCGCACAAAACUUACAAUUACAAAGCUUUAUAUGGUCCCUGGACUCUUUUUCUCAAGAAAACAAGCACUUAUCCUUAAAUCUCAAAGAAAAUAAAGUAUUAGCAACCAUAUAAAUUGAUAAAUGAUAAAAACACAUAACCGAUAUAAUUAAUGUCAUCUCUCUAUCUCUGAAAUUGAGUCAGAAUUUUUUUAAAAAAAAAAUGCAAAUUACAUGCAAGGCCUCCUACACAUGUGAGAGAAGUUUCAAAACCACAGUAGACAAAAAUAUAUAAUAAGCAAACCACUUCUUUCUUGAACCGCAGGUGAAAAAAGGCUAAAACAUGAACGUAAAUAUUCUAAAGAUAUGGACUUGUAUGAAUUAAAUUUCUCUAGCCUUUUUCUUUUAAUGCUCUAGUGAGGCUUGCUGUGCACAAGUAUAUAAAAACCCUACAUGAUUGCAGGAACGAUAUUUUUGUAUUCUUGCUGAGCACCAGAGCUGGAGGACUUGGUAUCAACUUGACGGUUGCUGACACAAGUCAUUUUAUAUGAAAGAGAUUGGAAUCUCACCUUGGAUUUACAAGCAAUGGACAGAGCUCAUCGUCUAGGUCAAACAAAAGAUUGAACAAGCAUCUGCCAGUGGCAAUGUGAUUAUCAUCCUGCACAGCGCAAGUCAGAAAAACAUAUAUAGUUCAAUCACAAUCAUGCAACGUCAGUACAGCCGCUACAGAUCCAAGGACGAUCUCAGCGCGUACUUCGCACGUCCCAAUCACAUUCGCGUCGUCGAGGAAACCAUGCAGAUAUGGGAAGACAUCAUGGCCGUUGAGACUGGAUCGCCGAUCAAGUAUCCGGAGUCUUGAAACCUCCUGUAGGAUCAGUUGCGAGAGUCACGUUACGUACUGAAGGUGAAAGAGAACGUCACGGACAGGUGAAGGAGAUUAUGGAAGUGGUUUAAGAAGAAGUAUCUUGCUCCAGUGAUUGAUGAGAUCCGUUUGGGAGAAAACUUCUCUCCGGUGAGAGCAAAGGGUUUCUCGAUUGCAUCGGUUGCGUAUUUUAAAGAUCUUGGAAACGUUGAGGUGCCAAUAUUUAGUGUCCAAUAUAGGGUUUGGUCGAUUGAUGCCAACUUUUUAAAUAGUAAUGUAAUUGAAAAAUAUAUUUGUCUUACAGCAAACAUUUCACAAAGCCAGAUGCAAGAACAUCGGUGUAGGAAGAAAAAAGGCAUGCGGUUUUGAAUCAAUACGAGACCACUAGCCGGAAACGCAACAAUAUCAAGACCUAGACAAUAGGGAACAAAACUGAAAUAUUGCAAGAGUCACAAAAGAAGUAGUGAUCAAGCUACUCGGGAACUCCAUUCGUCUGAAAAAGUUGGGUAUCCUAGAGGAGAAGGGCACAUGAUCUAGAUGUCGAAGUCCAUAUGUCCUCAUCAUGUCCGGAACAGAAUCCAAACGUCCAAGUGGGACCAAAUCUUCAACAAAAGGAGAUAUCACACAAAUAUCUCUAUGAACGCAGCGAACUACAUCUGUCUCUGGGUAAUAUUUGAACAACCUCUUGCAGUUGUCAUGGAAAAAAAGAUUUCCUUGCUUAGAAACCGCCACUGGCCUAGCCCAAAACCAUAAAGGGAAAACGCCGUCGUAACGGUGCUCGGAAGGGAAUAAACGUAUGGUAUAAAUCACACUCCAUGCUUCUUCUUGUGGUGCAUGCAAGCACCAUAUCUUCACAUUCCAAUGAUGAUUACUAAAAUAGGUUGCGGCUAAGGCCAGCCGGUUUUCAAGGUUUGCUACUUGGCAUGAAGUUCCUAGUGUUCCCUGCGGUAGUGUAAGGUGACGCCACUCUUCUGUGUGAAGAUUCAAAGCUAAAAGUUUGUGCCGAGGAAUUACUUCUACCCAGUAGAUGGACCCAUUCACACAUGUCGACUUCCUUUUAAACCCUAAAACAUAAGGAGGUGGCCUCAGUCUCCUCCAUCUCCCAAUGUUAACAUCAAGAAUCUCGCAACGACGACAAAUCUCCAAAUCAUCGUUAAAACAUAUCCUCACUAUCUUAUAUCUCUCAGUGAUAUUGUCUUUACCGAAUCCCAUCCUCCAACAUCUAGGGAAGAUCUCAAAUCGAGGAUCAAAAUCACGCGAUAUCAUUGUCUCUGGACCGGAAGAGAAUCUAAGAAACACUCCAGUGGAAGGGUUGAAAACUUUGACCCAACCAGGUACGGGGAUGCAGACAAGACUGUCACAUGACAGCGACGGCCGUGAGGCGGUGACAUUGCUGUGUAAGUAGACCAUCUCUACCUCUUCGUCCCUGUGUAAUUCAUGUUGGAUUAGGUUUCGGUCUACUGCCACUAUGAUUUUCAGUUUCGUUUGAAUAUUCACCAUACGACGCCUACGCUCUGCGAACCUCUUCGACUCAAGUAUUGAUCUCCAUUGUUUUGAGACGGUUUUGAAUUCUAGGAUGGAUUUCAAUGGCAGACCAAGGAAGAUCUCUUCUAGUACCUCCGGAACUAGGUACAUGGGACUAGGGUUUAUGUUGGAAUUUGUGAUAAAAACAAAAGUAUUGAAUUUGCUCUAAGAAUACGAACAGUGAGAAAGAGUCUGAAUAAAUCGUUAUUGGAUUCAGUUACAAAAUAAAAUAAAAUAAUCGUUAUUGGAUUUAAAGAGCUUACAUAUAUGUCUAGUAAAUCUUUAAACUUUAAAAAACAGAAUGUCAACUAAUGGAAUGAUAGAAGUUAUGGAAUAAAAUUAAUGGAAUGAAAUCAUUGCAGAGAAAUAUUUUUGUAGCACAAAUGGUAACCUUUCAGAGGAAUUAAAUGGAAUGAAAGUUACUUUUAAUUUAAAUUAUUAAGAAUAUGUUAAACUAUACCAAUAAAACUGUUCAAGUGUUUUCUCAAGAGCAAUUAGUUUGAUAUGGACGUCGUAAUUAUAAGCCCAAUGUGUUAAAAAAGGCCCAGUGGAAAGCG